UUCGGAGCUCGUACGACGAAUUUUGAGGGGACGAAUUAAUGGGUUCGGAUAAGGCCUAUUUGGGAUACUCAUUAAAGUGAGGAAAUGUGUUAUUUAUAUAAUUCCUUUUCUUUUAUUUCUUUUUCCCUAAACCUAUCGCCGAACCCGAGCUUCUCCUCUUCCCCGACAUUUCUUCCCUUCCUCUGUUCCCUCUCUUUGUCUCGCGGACGAAUCGAAGCCAAGCCGAGGGACCUUCGUCGAUCGUCGACAUCGCCCGAGGAGGAAGCCACCGGAGCUUGCUGGAAGACGACGGAAACCAGCGGAGCCGUGCUGUCUUCGACUGAGGGGAGAUUUGUUCGGUGGAUUCGGCGGCCGAGUGUCGACGGCGAGGCGGCUAGGGCACGACAGGUGCCCGAUCUGUGUUGUCCCCAGCGUAUCGGCCCUUCAUUCCUUCUCCACGAGUCAUUCCCGGAGCGAUCCGUGUCUUCUCUAGCCGUAUCGGACAGCGCCGUUGGAUUGAGCCGUGCCAUCGCCGAUCACCGGCGUGAGGGGACAAUUAGGGCUUCAAGGGUCAGGUCAUGGAUCGUUUGAGUGGAUCUUGGAUUCCUCUGCCGGAGCUAGGUCUUGGCAGACGCUGGCUAGUUGAGGGUCAGUAGAUUCAAUACAUUGCAUUAUGGAUUGGAUUAGGUGACACUUUCUGGAGGCAACCGAUCGAGUACUUGGACUUUCUCUUCUUCACUGUGAUUGAGGUCUCGGUUGAAGUGGAGAAGAAUCCCAGCAGUCAAUA